GCAUUCUUAGCUCAGUUGGAUAGAGCAACAACCUUCGAAGUUGAUGGUCACAGGUUCAAAUCCUGUAGGAUGCG
rnacentral:ncRNA from 14 species